UCAACAAUAAUUUAUUUCGUAUUCUGACUAGACAGUUAAGUUUUUUUUUAUUAUUACAAUGCUCUCUAUAAUAAGUACAGUAUCUCACAAUGGUAUAUCAAAAUAAUAAUAAUAAUAAUAAUAAUAAUGGUAAAUGGGUGUUCACUCAAUAAUAACCAACCCAUUACUUUAUAGAAUUGUGACCCUGUUAAAGAGGAGGAAAUAUGGGGUGACUUAACUAAUUCUGUACAAACGCGCGUGUGAAUAGAAAACGGGAAAACAUGGAAAAGACUGAUUAUAUGAAGUUGGGUUUUCUAAGCAUAUAUGUCAUCUCUCUCUCUCUCUCUCUCUCUCUCUCUUCAUUUAUACUUUACCGAAUCAUCCAUUUUUUUCCCUUUUCUUAUUUUUAUUUUCCUUAACACUUUCUUCUUUACAUUUUCUUUUUUCCUUAUUCCUUCUAUUUCCUUCCAUCUUCAUCUUCUUUUCAUUCUUCCUAUUUCUCUCUUUUCUUCACUUUUAUCUCCUUCUUUCUGCUCUUCAUUCUCCCUCGUUUCUUUAUUUUACACAUUUAUUUCUUUCCUUCUUCUUUUCUUUCUAUCUUCUUCGUUAAUACAUAUGAUUAACACACUUUCGUCUUUCCUUCUUCUCCUUCUCCUUCUUCUUCCUUUCCAUCUUCUUUUUCUUCUUAACACAAAUCCAUUUUUAAACUUUCUUCGUCCUCCUCCUCCUCUUACACUUUCUUUUUUCCUUCUUUCCCUCCUCUUCUUCUUCUUCUUCUUCACAUAACUCAAUUUUCAUAUUUUCUUCCUCCUCCUCCUUCUUCUCCUCCUACACUUUCUUUUUUCCUUCUUUUCCUUCACAUUCUUCCUUCUUUCCCUCCUCUUCUUCUUCUUCUUAACACCAAUCCAUUCACACUUUCCUCCUCCUCCUCCUCCUUCUUCUUCUUCCUCACACUUUCCUUUUUUUCCUCCUUUCCCUCAUCUUCUUCUUCUUCUUCUUCAUGCAAUUUCAUUCUUACACUUUCCUCCUCCUCCUCCCUCACACUUUCCUCUUCUUUCCCUCUUUCCACUUUCCUUAAGUACAUACAACACACAAGUACAUUUCCCCCACUACCAUUUCUCCCUUUCUCCUUAAGUAACGAUUCACUACGAAAGUAUAAUUUGGAAAAGGAAUGUGUCGGUUCCAUGGAGAUCAGUGGAGAGAUAGGGCUUUUUUUAUUCUUUACAUUUUUUGUUUUGCCCUUGAGCCGUCUCCUUUAAUAAUAAUAAUAAUAAUAAUAAUAGUAAUAAUAAUAAUAAAUAAAAUGAAAUGUCGGUAGGUUCAAAAACUUCCAAGAUAUUUUCUACUCCUUAUUUUUCCCCUUUUUCUAUGACUCCUUCAUCCUCUUCUUCCUUCCCUUCUUCUUCCCUAUCUAUAUCAUACCCAUUUUACUCUCCUCCAUCUAUAUCUUUUCUCCUUUAAUUCCCCUUCUCCUAUAACUCCUUCCCUAUCUAUAUCAUACCCACUUUACUCUCCUCCAUCUAUAUCUUUCCUCCUUUAAUUCCCCUUCACUCCUUUACCCUCUUCUUCCCCUCCCAUUUUCUUCCCCCUCCUCUACAAGCUCCUACAUGCUAUUCAGGAUCCCCUACAGACCUAAUGAUCGCCCUGAACCUAUUAUUAUUUCUACGAUCCUAAGAUAUUUUGUUCUCUUGUGGGAUUCUCUGCGGAAAUGGAAGAUCAGACUUAUGUUAGUAGGAUCGGAGAGUGAAGAAAGAAUGAGGAAUCAGAGGGAAUGAUGGAAGAUCGGAAUUGCGUUAGUAGGAUCGGAAUGCAAAGAAAAGAAGGCAGAGAAGGAAUGAGGAAUAUGAGAGAAUAAUGGAGGAUCGGAAUUGCGUUAGUAGGAUCGGAAAGUAAAGAAGGAAUGAGGAAUAAGAAGGAAUGAUGGAGGAUCGGAAUUGAGUUAGUAGGAACGGAGAAAUGAGAAAGAAUGAGGAAUAAGAGGGAAUAUCGGAAAAUUGGAAUCGUGUUAGUAGGAACGGAGAAAUGAGAAAGAAUGAGGAAUAAGUGGGAAUAACAGAAAAUCGGAAUCGUGUUAGUAGGAACGGAGAAAUGAGAAAGAAUGAGGGAUAAGAGGAAAUAACGGAAAAUCGGAAUCGUGUUAGUAGGAAUGGAGAAAUGAGAAAGAAUGAGGAAUAAGAGGGAAUAUCGGAAAAUUGGAAUCGUGUUAGUAGGAACGGAGGAUUGAGAAAAGAUGAGGAAAAAGUGGGAAUAUGGGAAAAUUGGAAUCGUGUUAGUAGGAACGGAGAAUUGAGAAAAAAUGAGGAAUAAGAGGGAAUAUCGGAAAAUCGGAAUCAUGUUAGUAGGAACGGAGGAUUGAGAAAGAAUAGGGAAUAACAGGGAAUAUUGGAAAAUUGGAAUCGUGUUAGUAGGAACGAAGGAUUGAGAAAAGAUGAGGAAAAAGUGGGAAUAUGGAAAAAUCAGAAUUGCGUUAGUAGAAUCAGAGAGUAAAGAUGAUAAUAAGGAACAAAUAGGAAUUAAGGUAUUAAAUAAGAAAACCCAUACUACCCAUACAACAUACCCCCCUCGAGAAAGCAUCCGGCAGACUAGCUACAUAUUGAAAUGGAACCUGAUACAGCCUUGAGCAUGCAGAACAAAAAGUAAACAAACGAAAGUAAACAGAAAAAGAUCGUAGGUACUUAAGUUCACGUCACGACAACCCUUGAAAUGCAACCGGAAAACAGCGACGCAAUCAUGAUAAUUAUGACAAUCGCGAUGAUGAUAAUAAUAAUAAUAAUAAUAGCGAUCGGUAAUGAGUUUCGCCGAUGAUAGAAAAUAAAAAAAAAGAAAUUGACGUUACGAAAAGCAGCGACGACGACACGACAGAAAUGCAUUGUUAUAUUAAUUACGAGAUUCCUGCGGAGUGAUUGAGUGUGUGUGUGUGUGUACGUGUGUGUGUGUUUGCUUAAUGAUGAGACUGGUGGUGGCGGUGGUGGUGGUGGUUACAGUUAUGGUGAUGGUGGUGGUAGAUUCAAUGGUGGUAGUGGUGGUGGUGGUGAUGGUGGUGGUGGUGGUGGUUUUAUGUACAAAGCAAGUCUUUUUUUAAUGCUACGUUCUCACUCUUUUGUUUUGUUGUUUUGUUGUUUUUAUUUACAGAAUGUCCGAGUGAGCGAGUGUGAAUUGCUUGCUAUGCUUGUUUUCCGUCUCCUGUAUAUUCAAUUCUUUCCGUUUGCGUGUGAUAAUCAAAUGAGGAGUUGUUACGUAUAUAUAUUUCUGUUUUGCGAUAUUUACAGAGUUUCCGAGUGAGUCUGACCUGCUUGCUAUGCUUCUUUUCAUCUUCUAUAUAAUUCUCCUAUUGUUUUCUAUUUGCAUGAGAUUAUCAAAUGAGGAGUUCUUACGUAUAUAUAUUUCUGUUUUGCGAUAUUUACAGAGUUUCCGAGUGAGUCUGACCUGCUUGCUAUGCUUCUUUUCAUCUUCUAUAUAAUUCUCCUAUUGUUUUCUAUUUGCAUGAGAUUAUCAAAUGAGGAGUUCUUACGUAUAUAUAUUUCUGUUUUGCGAUAUUUACAGAGUUUCCGAGUGAGUCUGACCUGCUUGCUAUGCUUCUUUUCAUCUUCUAUAUAAUUCUCCUAUUGUUUUCUAUUUGCGUGAGAUUAUCAUAUGAAGAGUUCUUACAUAUACGAAUGUUUUCCGAUAUUUACAGAAUGUCCGAGUGAGUCACAAUUACAUGCUAAGCUUCUCUCACAUCUAUAAAUUCUCCUCUUCUUUCUGCCAGCGUGUACUUAUGAGAUGAACACUUCUUACGAUUAUGUGCUUCCGUUGUCCGAUAUUUACAGAAUGUCCGGGUAAGUCUUGGCUACUUCACGUGACUUAUAUUCAUACAUUCGUCUAUUCUUUACGCCUGUGUGAUUGUGAGAUUAUAAAGACUCCCCACACAUAUGUACUCCUGUUUUCCAAUACUUGUAGAGUGAGUGUUUUGUUGGCUAUACUUGUCAAAUGUCUACAUAUCCUCCUAUUCCCUAUGCGUCUGUGAUUACUAAAUGCACACUCCCCAAACUUAUGUACUCCUGUUUUCCAAUACUUGUAGAGUGAGUGUUUUGUUGGCUACACUUGUCUAACAUCUACAUAUCCUUCUAUUCCUUAUGCCUCUGUGAUUACGAAAUGCACACUCCCCAAACUUAUGUACUUCUGUUUUCCAAUACUUGUAGAGUGAGUGUUUUGUUGGCUAUACUUGUCUAGCGUCUACAUAUCCUUCUAUUCCCUAUGCGUCUGUGAUUACUAAAUGAAGACUCCCCAAACUUAUGUACUUCUGUUUUCCAAUCCUUGUAGAGUGAGUGUUUUGUUGGCUACACUUGUCUAAGAUCUACAUAUCCUUCUAUUCCUUAUGCGUCUGUGAUUACUAAAUGUACACUCCCUAAACUUAUGUACUCCUGUUUUCCAAUACUUGUAGAGUGAGUGUUUUGUUGGCUACACUUGUCUAACAUCUACAUAUCCUUCUAUUCCUUAUGCGUCUGUGAUUACCAAAUGCACACUCCCUAUAUGUCUGUACUUCCGUGCCCCAAAAUGAUUACCAAAUGCACACUCCCUAUAUGUCUGUACUUCCAUGCCCCUAAAUGAUUACCAAAUGCACACUCCCUAUAUGUCUGUACUUCCGUGCCCCAAAAUGAUUACCAAAUGCACACUCCCUAUAUGUCUGUACUUCCAUGCCCCAAAAUGAUUACCAAAUGCACACUCCCUAUAUGUCUGUACUUCCAUGCCCCAAAAUGAUUACCAAAUGCACACUCCCUAUAUGUCUAUACUUCCGUGCCCCAAAAUGAUUACCAAAUGCACACUCCCUAUAUGUCUAUACUUCCAUGCCCCAAAAGUGAUUACCAAAUGCACACUCCCUAUAUGUCUGUACUUCCGUGCCCCAAAAGUGAUUACCAAAUGCACACUCCCUAUAUGUCUGUACUUCCGUGCCCCAAAAGUGAUUACCAAAUGCACACUCCCUAUAUGUCUGUACUUCCGUGCCCCAAAAGUGAUUACCAAAUGCACACUCCCUAUAUGUCUGUACUUCCAUGCCCCAAAAGUGAUUACCAAAUGCACACUCCCUAUAUGUCUGUACUUCCAUGCCCCAAAGUGAUUACCAAAUGCACACUCCCUAUAUGUCUGUACUUCCGUGCCCCAAAAUGAUUACCAAAUGCACACUCCCUAUAUGUCUGUACUUCCGUGCCCCAAAAGUGAUUACCAAAUGCACACUCCCUAUAUGUCUGUACUUCCAUGCCCCAAAAGUGAUUACCAAAUGCACACUCCCUAUAUGUCUGUACUCCCAUGCCCCAAAAGAGUGAUCAUAAAGUGGGUAAAAAAUAUUGUAACAGAGCAGAAAGUGAUUGCGUAGCGUAGGAGUUGUGAGUUUAGCGUCAUCGGCCAGCUAACGUUUUCCUUGUCAUUCCUCAAAUAGUACAGUUCCCAAUAGUUUGGUUUUAUACGGAUAGUCAUAGAAGAUCGUUUAAGGAUUUUUUAAUUUCCUGCUAGUCGGGAAAUUUAAAAAUCCCAAAAAAAUCUUCCACAACAAUCCACGUAAAACCGUAACCAAACUUUUGGAAACCGUACUAUUUGAGGGACGACCAUAUCUGUUUCUGUUGCGGCGGAAGCUAAUGACCGGCCUCUCACUGUAACCCUUCAAGACUCUAGUAAUGGCAGUAGAAAUGUUUGAGCUGGAUUUGCAUUCUAUUCUUCUCUCAUUUGUAUGUCUUAAAUGAUAUGCUAAGUUACUAUGUUCAUGUGUACUUCCUGGAGGUUCAGUUUGGUUGGGGGGUAUACAUUUUCAUUCCUUGUUAAUUUGUGUCUUAGGCGAUAUGCUGUGUUAUGUCUGUUAAUGCAUUCUUGCGGGAGGUUUUGUAUGAGCUGGGUUUGCCUCUGUAUAAUUCUCUAAGUAACUUCAAGGAUAUGGUAAGUUACGGCUAUCUAUAUAUUCUUGAGGGAGGUUCUGUCCGAGCUGGGUUAGCAAGUGUGUUUUUCUCUCAGUAACUUCAAGGAUAUGCUAAAUUACGUCUAUCUAUAUAUUCUGGCGGAAGGUUUUGUCAGAGUUUGAUUUGCAUGUGUACAAGUUUUCUUCUCUCAGUGUUUCAAGGAUAUGCUAAAUUACGUCUAUCUAUAUAUUCUUGUGGGAGGUUCUGUCCGAGCUGGGUUUGCAUGUAUAUAAUUCUCUAAGUAACUUCAAGGCUAUGUUAAGUUAUGUCUAUUCAAAUAUUCUUGCUGUAGGUUAUGUUAGAGCUCGAUUUGCAAGUGUAUAAUUCUCUAAGUAACUUCAAGGCUAUGUUAAGUUAUGCCUAUUCAAAUAUUCUUGCUGUAGGUUUUGUUAGAGCUCGGUUUGCAAGUGUGUUCUUCUCUCAGCACUUCAAGGAUAUGCUAAAUUACGUCUAUCUAUAUAUUCUUGUGGGAGGUCCUGUCCGAGCUGGGUUUGCAUCUGUAUAAUUCUCUAAGUAACUUCAAGGCUGUGUUAAGUUAUGUCUAUUCAAAUAUUCUUGCUGUAGGUUUUGUUAGAGCUCGGUUUGCAAGUGUGUCCUUCUCUCCGCACUUCAAGGAUAUGCUAAAUUAUGUCUAUCUAUAUAUUCUUGUGGGAGGUUUUGUAAGGGUUGGGUUUGCAUCUGUAUUCCUCUCCCAGUACUUCAAGGAUAUGCUAAAUUACAUCUAUUCCUAUAUUCUGCGGGAGGUUAUCUUAGAGCUCGGUUUGCAAGUGUAUUCUCCUCUCAGUGCUUCAAAAGUAUGCUAAAUUACGUCUAUUCAAAUAUUCUUGUGGGAGGUUUUGUUAGAGCUAGGUUUGAAUCUCUAGUCUUCUCUGUUACACCUUCAAUGCUAUGCUAAGUUACCUAAGUUACAUGUUCUUCCUGUAAGUUAUGUUAGUGCUAGAUUUGCAUUCUUAUCUCUCACUAAGUUACGUCGUCAAUGAUAUGCCGAGUUUCUGUACCACUGUUAAUAUAUUCUGAUUGAGGUGUAAUCCUAACUAUGUAUGUCAAUGUUAUUUCUUGGGACACAAAAAGCACAUCAUACACCAUAUCAAUCUGUUUUUUGGGGUUAUAACAUGGUUUGUCUGUGUGUGAAUUAGACCAUCAUUCCCUUGUAGAUACAGUUACUUAAAAACACUCUAUAGUAUCUUGUCAUUUCCUUGCCUAUAGACAGUUACUUAAAGCACAUCUCACACCAUAUCAAUCUGUUUUUUGGGGUUAUAAGAUGGUUUGUCUGUGUGUUAACUGGACCAUCAUUUCCUUGUAGAUACAGUUACUUAAAAACACUCUAUAGUAUCCUGUCACUUCCUUGCCUAUAGACAGUUACUUAAAGCACAUCUUACACCAUAUCAAUCUGUUUUUUGGGGUUAUAAGAUGGUUUGUCUGUGUGUGAAUUAGACCAUCAUUUCCUUGUAGAUACAGUUACUUAAAAACACUCUAUAGUAUCUUGUCAUUUCCUUGCCUAUAGACAGUUACUUAAAGCACAUCUCAUACCAUAUCAAUCUGUUUUUUGGGGUUAUAAGAUGGUUUGUCUAUGUGUGAACUGGACCAUCAUUUCCUUGUAGAUACAGUUACUUAAAAACACUCUAUAGUAUCUUGUCAUUUCCUUGCUUAUAGACAGUUACUUGAAUCACAUC